rnacentral:pre_miRNA from 1 species
UAUGUACUCCCUCCGUUCCAAAAUACUUGACUUCCAUUUGUCCAAAAAUGGAUGUACCUAUAUACUAAGACAUGUUUAGAUACAUAUAUAUUUUGACAAAUAGAAGGCAUGUAUUGUGCAACGGAGGGAGUAGAAU